ensembl:lncRNA
UAUAUAUUAUGUGUUAUGAUUAUAUAGCAUUGUUUUCACUUGGGAGAACUGGUUCAGUGUGGUGUAAAUAUACCCUUGUCAUGCUCUCUCUCUCUCUCUCUCUCUGUCUCUCUCUUUUUCCUUCUGUCUUUUACCUCUUUUCCCUUUCUCUCCAUUCCUCUUCCUAACCUAUAUAUGUUUCUCUUAUUCACUCUCUGUCUGCAUUUCAUUGUCUCAUAUUACAGUAUAUACUCUAAAAGCCUGCCUGGUUUUCUUACAUGCGUGAAAAUGCAUUGAGUUUAAAAAAUUUAUAUAUGGGAUAUGAAAAAAGUUACCAUGAAAUGUAAGUACUGCAAAUAUUGGUAUGAGUUUUUGUUUUCCUCCAGUUGAGUUUCUGGUGUAACUGUUGGUGGCGCAAUUUUCAGUGUCAACUGUCAUCCCAGGACUUAUUAUUAUUAUUAUUAUUAUUAUUAUAAAUCAAAUUAUUAUAAACCCAUUAUGAAAUAAAUGCCUUUUUCUUGUUAGCCCGGUAUGUGCAUCCCAUACCUUUUUGUGACAUCAUUUCCUGUUCUUUGAUGACAGGCAAAUACAAGCUAAAGCAGGGUACUGCAUGUGCGAACAAGCAAACAAAACAAACAAAAACAAGAAGCUAGACUCUUCUGUCUACUGUUCUUUCUCUUUAUGUUUCCAACUAUCAGUUCUCUCUCUCUUUGUCUCCCUAUACAGUGUUCUAGCCUAGUUUCAGUCUGUGUCUGUGAAAGUCCAUUCUGGUUCUCCUUAAUAAGUAUUCAUAGUCUGUCUCGAUCUAGACAUACUAGAUCUGAUCAUUCCGGUAUUCUUACCAUUGCAGCUAGCUUCAUUAAUUCUAGAAAUAUUGAAGCUUACUGUAUGACAAAUAGCAAGGUGAGAUGUUAACCAAAUUGUUAACUUCUGCUUUGCAUUUCACACAUGAACAUUGUUCAUGGUGUGAGAUGAGUGGGCUAAGAAUUUCUAAUUUGGGAUUAUAAACCCAGUACAUUCUUCCAUUCUUUGGGGCAGGUUUAACUUUACUUGUGAAGUGAAUGACUUAUUAUGUAAACUGACUGAAGGGCAGGACAGAUCUUUCCCAGUUUCCUCUGAAUAGAGCUUAUUCUCUGUAGAGCUGAUCCAUCGCAAAAUGAAAAGUACUUAAGCUUUCUAUAGACUCUACAGGCCAGUGUUGUCAGAGUUCAGUCCCUGAGGGCCCUGAUGGAACUCUUUGGACAUUGAUUGGUAGAUUUCCUCCAUGACUUGAGAUUGACACCAUGGCUCUACACUCAACGUUUCCCAAACUGGUGCUCAGGGACUUAAAGUAUUCAGUAUUCUAUAUGGGUUGGUUCAGGUAUGUUGGGAGCUGCAAGAAUGCAAAACAUUUGAAUUGUCUGUGGACCUAGGGUUUGGGAAACACUGCUCUAGACUAUAGCCCUUAUCAUAGACCUCAUGUUUGCAGUUAUAACAUUUCACCACUAGAUGGUGCAUUAUGUUAGACAUGCCCAUCUUUCCCCUUUCUCUCUGGUGCAGGUAGCAGAAUUUGUGAUGCACCUUAUGUUAAUGGUGGAUCAUUGCAGCGGUUUAUUUCUAAAUUAUGUUUAUCCCUUUUUCUUUUUGUAGCUCUGUAUACUAUUAAGUGUAAAACGUUCUGUUUACUUUUUAUUGUAUGACUAGAUGUUAUAGAUGUUAUACAAAUCUACAUUAAGGUGUGGAAGAGUAUAGUUUCUGUGACUAUUGUUUUAAAAUCAGCCAUUUUGUAUAAUUUCAUGUAUAUAGUGUUGCCUUGAACAGUCUUCUCCUUACUACAGUUGUUUAGUGCACGCUCACGCACACUGACCCACAUAAAGGGUUUGAAAAUUGUGUGUGUGCACUUUUCUAUGUAAGAUGUUCACAACAGUGUCAUCUCCAACAGGCAAAGAAAACACAACAUGUUGUUUUCCACAAGCAUUGUUAAUUUGACCGUCUAUGUUAGCGCUGUUUUGGAAUGAGAAGUCUUCCUUUUCAAUAAAUAUUCAUGUCAUGGAGAUUUUCCCAUUGUUUAUCCUUGUUUGCUUAGUCUUCUUGCUCAAGACAACAUCUAAAUGGGACCUGUUUGCUAUCACUGAGAGGGUUGUAUAUGAAAAAUAAGUUUGGUUGUUAGAAUAGCACUGAACAUUUAAUUUAAACCAUUAAAAAGAAUAUGUAUGUAGUAUGUAGGAUCAAAGCCUAAGAAACUACUUGCAUGGAAAUUACUUCCUCUGUAAAGAACAUUUCUAUACCCUUUGUCUCAGAAUCUACUCUCACAAGAUAAAGAAAGUACACCCUCCUGCAAUUUUUUUUAUUUAUCAGGGCCUAAAUAACAAUUGUGUGGUUCUCACCAACUUCUAUAAACAAACAAAUAACCUCAGGUGACAACAAAAAACACAACACAUUCACCAAAUGACAGAAAAGUAUUGCUUUUAUAUAAGUAGUCACACUUCUUGAUGAUUAACUAACUUUGUGCAUUUCAUUUGUAACACCUGACAGCUAAUUACUCUCCUAAUGAUUGUAAAAGUUGUAAGCAUGUACUUACCACCUAGUUUCUGAAUUUGGUUUACUUA